GGAAAGGGUUACAGAAGAAAAAAGUAAUAAAGGGGAAAACAUUUCUACACACACACAUACAUACAUACACAUAUAUAUACACAUAUACAUGACAUCUUAAACAUACGUGAAGCAUGGUCAUUAAACUGUAGACAUUGUUUAUAUUAUUCUCUGUGCUGGUAAUAAGAUGGACUAGAUAUUUCAUCCUAACCUUAACAUAUGAGGAAAGGGAUUUAGGGGUGAUUUAUUUCUGAUGACUUAAAGGUAGGCAGACAAUGUAAUAGAGCAGCAGGAAAUGCUAGCAGAAUGCUUGGUUGUAUAGGGAGAGGUAUUCGCAGUAAAAAGAGGGAAGUGCUCAUGCCAUUGUACAGAACACUGGUGAGACCUCACUUGGUGUACUGUAGGCAGUACUGGAAACCAUAUUUCUAGAAGGAUAUUGAUACUUUAGAGAGAGUUCAGAGAAGGGCUACUAAACUGGUUCAUGGAUUGCAGGAUAAAACUUACCAGGAAAGGUUGAAGGAUCUUAACAUGUAUAGCUUGGAGGAAAGACGAGAC